ACCUAGUAGCUCUCGCGUGGAAGUAAUGAGUAUUUCUAUCACCCUCAUUUAACCAAAAUGACCGUGAUCUUUGGGACCAAUAUUUCUCUUCCUUAGCAUAGAGAUGAUUGAGCCUACUUCGGGUUUCUUUCAAAAUGACGUACUGUUAAUUCCUUGAGGCGAGUCAAUGAUCCUAUCAAUCUUGUGUUCCAGUCUUCAAAUGUCUUUCUUCAUAUUGUUAUAUUUACCACGUUGCCAAGGGCCCAGCGACAUGCACAUAUUAUCAAGCUUAUCCACAAAGUUAUUAUCACUGCAUUGCCACAAUCGCCUUUGAUAAUUUUCUUAGCUUCCUCGUUAAUAGCCUAACACUCAUCAAACUUGAAACUAAGCCUGGGAUCUUUAUCUUGCAUCUUAGGCUUGCGGCCCUAAGUAUCCAAGACAAUAGCAUCAUGGUCAAAAUUAGUUUGACGCACCACAUACGUAGCCAUAAAAGGGAAAUUCUCAAUAACAGACACUGAAGUAAAGAAUCUAUCCAUUCUCUCCUUAAUCAUGGUAUUCCCAUCCCUAUUAUUAACCCAAGUAAACCAUCAUUUAUCGGGCUUGAUAUCAACAAGAGCUAGCUCAUCCACAAGAUCCUUGAACUCAUUUAUUUGCGACCUGGCCUUCUUACGCCCACCCUCUUUCUCUACAUCAUUCAAAAUUGCAUUAAAAUCCCCCCUACAAUCCAGUCCUCACCAACUGUCCCACCAAUCCUUGUUAGCAUUUCCCACGAACUAUUUCUAAGACUCGAGUUCACAUUACCAUAGAUACCAGUGAAACAAACACUUUUUUUGUUUUCAUAUUGAACCAAGGCAUCAAUAUGGAACUUGGAAUAGUUUUGAAUGUUAAAUCAACACCUUCCCUCCACAUCAACGCGAGACCCCCAUUUCUUCCCUCAGAAUUCAUAGGCAAACCAUUUUGCAUCCUGUAUCUAUUUUGAACACGUUGAAAAUCAUUAGCUUUCAUUUUUGUUUCACUAAGGAAAAUAACAUCAAGGUUAUUGACAACUAAGAGUUGCUUAAGCUCCCAAAGUAUCGCGGGAUUCCCCAACCCACGACAUUUCCAGCAAAGAAACUUCAUUGAUCUUGGUGGGGCUAAUCGCCAGCCGUCGCCUUAAAAGGUGAUAAACCAUCCAUAAGCUUUCUAUAAACUGUUCUACUGGGGCUGUCUUCGAUUAACUCUCUACUGCUGCCUCUUGCCCUCUUCUUUUUAUUACUCAGUUUCCCACAUGUUUCACGAGACAGCUUCAAAGAUCGCUUCUCCACUUGAAAGCUUGAACCCGACUCUUCUUUAGUCAGCUUAGUUUUCUCUUUUUCCUUUGUUUUGCCAGGAACAUUUAGCUUAGUAUUUCCUUGUGUCUUUCCCUUCAACUCACUUUUCACUAUUCUUUUUGCUUCAAUAACUUCAAUCUCGUUUCUCCAAUUUCCCUGAUCCUAAUUCGCUAUACCUAUAGAAGCUCUUAACCAGUUUCCAUAUUGAUAACUAGUUUCAUUGGUUUUGCUUUGGAUAAUCGUCUUUUGGAAUUUUUGUGUUGAAUGGCUUCUAAGGC
rnacentral:lncRNA from 1 species